rnacentral:snRNA from 1 species
UUGCUUCUGUGACAGAUAUACUAAAACUGAAAUGAUACAGAGACGAUUACCUGAGCCCUGCACAAGAAUGACAUGUAAAAACAUCAUCAUAAAUAUCAUUCC